GAGGAACUUGCCCAUGAGCGGGGGACAACAUUCGGAAACGGAUGCUAAUACCCCAUAGGUGGAUUGGUCGCAUGACGAAUUCAUUAAAGGUGGCUUUGCUACCACUCAUGGAUAGCCUCGCGGCGUAUUAGCUAGUUGGUAAGGUAAUGGCUUACCAAGGCAGUGAUACGUAGCCGACUUGAGAGGGUGAUCGGCCACACUGGGACUGAGACACGGCCCAG
rnacentral:rRNA from 1 species